rnacentral:rRNA from 1 species
GAUGAACGCUGGCGGCGUGCCUAAUACAUGCAAGUCGAGCGAACGGACGAGAAGCUUGCUUCUCUGAUGUUAGCGGCGGACGGGUGAGUAACACGUGGAUAACCUACCUAUAAGACUGGGAUAACUUCGGGAAACCGGAGCUAAUACCGGAUAAUAUUUUGAACCGCAUGGUUCAAAAGUGAAAGACGGUCUUGCUGUCACUUAUAGAUGGAUCCGCGCUGCAUUAGCUAGUCGGUAAGGUAACGGCUUACCAAGGCAACGAUGCAUAGCCGACCUGAGAGGGUGAUCGGCCACACUGGAACUGAGACACGGUCCAGACUCCUACGGGAGGCAGCAGUAGGGAAGCUUCCGCAAUGGGCGAAAGCCUGACGGAGCAACGCCGCGUGAGUGAUGAAGGUCUUCGGAUCGUAAAACUCUGUUAUUAGGGAAGAACAUAUGUGUAAGUAACUGUGCACAUCUUGACGGUACCUAAUCAGAAAGCCACGGCUAACUACGU